AACGAACGCUGGCGGCAUGCCUAACACAUGCAAGUCGAACGACACCUUCGUGUCUACUUGCUCACGCGUGCGUAACGCGUGGGAACCUUCCCUUAUGUUCGGAAUAACUCUCCUACAGGGGUGCUAAUACCGGGUAAUUUCUUCGAACCAAACAUUCAUCGUCCUUGUAUGAGCCCGGGUUUGAUGAGCUUGUUGGGAGGGUAUGAGCCGACGAAGGCGACGAUCCGUAGCUGGGUUGAGAGGAUGAUCAGCCACACUGGAACUGAGACACGGCCCAGACUCCGACGGGAGGCAGCAGUGGGGAAUAUUGGACAAAGGGCGCAAGCCUGAUCCAGCCAUACCGCGUGGGUGAAGAAGGCCUUCGGGUGGUAAAGCACUGUUGUUGGGAAAGAAAAACAGCAGUUUAAUACCGCGCUAUUCUGACGGUACCCAAAGAAUAAGCACGGGCUAACUUCGUG
rnacentral:rRNA from 1 species